rnacentral:lncRNA from 1 species
UGAAACUCCCAGAAUUGUUAGGAAGCCACCAAAGAGAGGAACAACAUAAGCUAGGUCGUCGUUAAACGUAGCAUCAGGUUUAAGAAAGAAGCCACUCAUCAAGGCUAUUGUUCCAAACGUUGUGACACAUAAAAGUACAGAACUUAUAUAGCCCCAAGGAGUGCUCAGCCUGGUCGACUCAAACUGGAGAUCAAUUUCCGCUUUUGGUUGUACCAUGCAAACCUUAAAGACAUAUAGGUAGGUAGUCAGAAUACUUCAAACUUUAGUUGCUACAGGGGAAAUCUAAAACUAAGUCGACAAUUGCUUUUCACUGCAAUUGUGUUUGGAGUUAUUUUGCUAAUAGGAUAUUAACAUAGACCUUAAAAUGGACUAUUAAUUAAGUCUUUAACAAAUUUCAACUUUUAUCAGUUAUAUCAUCUUGUAUAGUAAUGUGAUCUUGUGUAACAUAAAUGAGAUCCAAAUUUCUGAGUCUAGUUAUUUAUGUUCUAUGUACAGUAUGCAACCAAAACCUAUUGCAAUCCUAAAGAUGACAUUAUCAUUUUCUGGAUAUACCUGUUUGGUAACGUCAUCAGUUUUUUCCUCCAUAAGCCAGAUUACAACCUCCCUCCCAGCAGCUUCAGAUAGCUUUUGCUCCAGCACUGGAAUAACUUCUUCAACAGGUUUCCUUAGAUUUCCGAUAAAAAUCCCUCCAUCACCAAAUCUCCUCACAUCCCUAGCGAAAAAUGUAUUGAAUCCAAAACAAUCCUUUAACUGCUUUUCUAGUAGUGAUAUAUAAAAUCAGCUGGCACACAAGCAUACAAUAUCCUAAAAUUUUAGUAUUAUUUAGAUAAUGAAGUAUUGAUGAAAAUCUUCUUAAUAUUUUAUAUCUUAAAUUUGUAUUACUUUUGUAAACAUAUUUUCCGUAAUCUAAUUUGUUCUUAUCUUGAUUGCAUACUUUUUAUUUAGCUAAACUUGCAAUUUCAUGUGUUUUAUUAAAAAAUAUCUUUUCAACAUUUUUUUUACUCUUGUUGAUUUUAACUUGAUUGUAAAAGAUGUCACUUAUCCAAAUGGUAUAUCUUAUUCGAAUUUAUGUUACAACUUAUUUAGAUGAUAUAUCUCAUUCGAAUUUCAGAUACAACUUAUUUAAAUGAUAUAUCUCAGUCGAAUAUGUGGUAUAAAAUUCACCCACUCACUUUUUGUAACUAAUCGGUUCAAUGUCUUUUUUUAUAAAGAAAGGUUCAAUGUUUUUUUAUUAUUAAUUAUCUUCCAUUUUUUCUUGAACUAUAUAUUGGAUUUCAAUUUAAUUGAUGAUAAAUGUAAAUUAUCUAAUAAAAUAGUUCAAUUAGUUGUUCACUUUACGAGUUUAAUUGCAUACACAGUUUCAUUCCUUUUAGUUAUUUAUAUAAUGUUCGUUUUGUUCAUGUGUUUUUUCAUUUAAAUUUUAUUUUAUAUUGAUUUAGUUAAUAAAAAAUGAAAAUAUUUAAAUAUAAAAUUAUAUUUAAUUUUUUUUUUGAUAUAUAAAUAAAAUUGAGUAGUCACUUGUACACUCUUUGGUUAUAUACAAUAUUUUCUAUUAAUAGUAAAUAUUUUUCAAUUUAACCAAUAUAAUUUAUAAAUUUUUGGAAAUGGAUAAAUUUCAUUUUUUCAACUAAAUGGAGAUUUAUUAGAUUUAAGAAAAAAUGAUAUACGUAGUAAUAAGAACAAAAGUGAACUAAUUAGUUAUAAAAAGUGAGUGCAUAACUUUAUUUUGUACAAAAAAUUUUAAUGAGAUAUACCAUUGUAAAUAAGUUGCAUGAGAAAUUCCAAUGACCUGUAGGGACCCUACAUUAUCCAAAGAUACUGACAAGAAAAAGUAAUGAUGAAAAUAUACCAAAAAGGAAUAAAAAUUUACUAUGUUGUAUAUGUUCCAGCUGGUUUAUACCGCUCUUUUGAAUAUAAAUAAAGAGUUAUGCCCAUGACAAUACAUAAUUUGAGUCUUUUCUUCAUUCUCAUCUAAAUCAUGUCUGAGAACUGUGAUUUUCCACCCCAUUCUAACGCUUUCUGUCAAUGUCCGCCAGAUAAAGAUAGAGCCUCAUCUGAACCACGUUUGCUGCCUCUAUUUCCGGUAGAGGUGCCAGAUGCCCAUCAUUCUGGUUCUACUACUUCCCCUCUUAGUCUGCCUCAAUCACCCCAAGAAACAAUUCCAUCACAAUUGUUGUCACCUCCAAUCCCAAGGGAACCUUUUUGUGGAAGUGUGUGUCUUAUUGGAAAGAGCCAACAUAUGGAAGAUGCCAUCUCUAUUAUUCCCCAGAUAUUAGGGUCACUAAUACCUUCUGCACCAUAUCAUCUGCAUUUUUACGGUGUUUUUGACGGACAUGGGGGAAGUCUUGUAAGAACAUUAUAUUGAUAUCUCAGAUUAGUUAUUUAAAUAUUCAAUACACACACAUAUCAUGAAAUAGGAAUUUUGCCUUCAAAAGAAAAGCUUUAAGAAAUUAGAAUUUUUUCCUGUACAUGUCUAAUUAGCUUAUACAUUUUGGUACACAGGUUUCAGGUUUUUGUCAGGCUCAAAUGCAUCAAAUGGUGCUAGAAGUACUUCUGACACGAACAUCUGAAAUACAGGGAAUAGCAACUGCGUCCGUAGAAUGGUGGGACAUACUAAUGACGAGGAGCUUUAGAAAUAUGGAUGGGUUGGCUCUUAGGACUUGCCCUUGUGGGGCACUUGGGGUUAACUGUGGAAACCAUUCCACACAAACACAGUCACAAUAUUCUGAGUUUGUCGGAUCAACAGCUGCAGUGGUGCUUCUGUCAGAUAAUCAGAUUAUAGUAGCUAAUUGCGGAGACUCGGGUGUUGUUCUGGCUAACAAUGGAAAUACUGUUCCACUCACCCAUCCUCAUAAGGUAUUGUUAAGAACCCUAUGACUAUGUCAAUAUAUACAUAUAUCAGUUUGGUUUUUCCUUUUGUUUUUGCUGAAUUCUACAUGUAUUAUUCAAAAUAAAUUACUAACAUAAAAUAUUAGGAGUUCCAAAUUAUAAUUAUAUAUACACAUACAUAUAUACAUAUAUACGUGAUAUGUUAUGCCCUUGUGGUGGCAGCCUGACCGUCCGGACGAAUGGGCAAGGAUUGAAGAACUUGGAGGACCAAUAAGUAGAUCUACUGAUGGGAGAGUCAGAAUCGAUGAUCAUUUGCUAACCACCACUCGCGCAAUUGGUAAAUUAUAUAUUCCAUCACUCUCAUUUUUAUUUUUAGGUGUUAAAAAUCAUCUCACAUAUUUAUAUUUUAUAAAUUUCAUAUCAAAUUAAAGUUUAGAAUUUAAACUUUAAUAUGUGAUAAGAAUGGAAAUUGGUUGUUGAGUUUAAACAUUAUUUUUUACUUGAUUAAAAUGUUAAACAUGAGUUAAAGUUGGACAGAAUGAGUAAAGACGGAUUGUCAAAUAUGUGGAUCUAAUUAUGUUAGCUCUUCAUUCUUUUGUACUUUGGGUCUCACUAAAACAAAUAAAAUUUUUAAUUGGCUAUAGAAGAUCAGAUACCAAACUUUGUCUAUGUUAGUAUUUUAAAUAAUUGCAAAUAUUAGAAUAGUCGAUAUAAAACUUUGAUUUAUUGACAUGCUGAAAGCUUAAUUAUAUUACCUAUAAGACAUGAGUAAAUUUUUUCAACAGUAAUUUUUACAAAUGUAUGUUUUCACUAUACAUGAUAUUUAUAUUAUUUAUUAACAAAACUCUACUUUUUCACCAUGUAAAUGACUCGUUGGAUCAUAUUAUGAAAUAUAGAAAUUUAUAAGUCCAAAGUAACCCUACUUUGACUCAAUGGGUGAGAAAACAUCUUAUUGUCUUAUGACAGGAAAUAGGCAUCUAAAAAAGUAUCUCAUUCCGGACCCGGACGUUACCUUGAGAACGAGGGAUUCUAAAGAUGAGUUCUUAAUCAUUGCUAGUGCUGGGUUCUGGGAUGUGGUUUCAACCCACACAGCUUGUCAUGUGGCCAGGGGUUGUUUCCGCCACUCCCAUCCACCUUACUAUGCUAAUGCCGACGAUGCAAAUGGUGAGCCUCAUCAUUUUGACACUUUAGUACCAUCUAUGUCCUUGAUGUAUCCAUCACCAAGUGCAACAGCAGCCGCAAUACUUUCCCGUAUGGCUGGUAUACGAGGAAGUGAAGAUAAUAUAAGCGUUAUUGUUGUUGAUCUCAUGAACAAUAGGUCUUGAGAUCUUUAUGGUUGUGGAGUAAAGGUGAUACAUACUGACUGAGGAGCUUAACAGAGUUAUAUUGCCUUCUGUUAUUACAUUUAAAAUGAUCUUUAUUUGAAGGAGCCGAAUUGAAACAUUCUCUUUAAUUUUGUACCUUGUUACUUAAAAAGUCCUUAUACUCAAGUUUUUUUUAAAUAAAAUAAUUUUCAUUAUGUUUUGUGAAUUGAAAUUUUAAUGUAAGCUCAUGUUCUUUUUACAUAUUGAAUGAUUCUCAGUACUAAUCUAGAGUUUAACCUUUUUUGAUACCUGUUUAGAAUUUAUUGGGAUGUUUAGAAGUUUUAAGUGAUCAUUUCAUCUAAAAAUCUUCAGUUGUUUGUUCUUCAUAUAUUGAAUCAUAUUAUAUUUCAACAUCGAAUCACUCCAAAUCCCAUUAUAUUGUGUUGAAGACGGAAUCAAUCAGUAAUUCAUGUCUGUCCUUAGCUUCCUGUAUAUAAUUUGCAUUUAUCUUGUGGAGAUUUAGUAUUAUUUUUAAUAUCUACUAUGUUACGUCAACGAUUUUCGUAUUAGGUUAUGGAUUUAAUAAGAUUAUAUUGGGUUACGAUUUUUCCACUCUUGGAUCGGACAAGAUAAAUUCUCUCAUCGUAUAGAGUUUGUUUUAAAUUUUUUCUUAGAUAUACUUUUUCUCAAUGAUUUUUGUUGCCCUUCUCAUAUUUAUUAUUUUUUUCCUUCGAGGGAUUGUCCUUUUUGUCUAAUGCUCUAGGCACGUCGGCACUUUGUGAGAUUGUUUUUUACUUUUCGUGCGUUAUAAUGGGAGUGGCCAUAGGUACAUUUAUAGUAUUUCUUUUUUGUCAUGCACUAAAAAGGAGUAGUCGUAGGCACAUCUAUAUUUCUAUCUUUCUUUCUCGGGCGCUGUGAUGGGAUAGCCCUAGGUACAUCUAUAUUCUUUCUUGUUCUUUUGAGUAGUUGAGUUUAUGGGAUUGUGUCUUUAUACCAUUUCUUCUCUUUUUUCACGUACAUUUCUUGGUUUAAAAUUGUCAAUUGGUUUCUUGGUUAUAAUUAGAAUAUCGAUUUGCAUUCUAGUUAUAUUUUGAUUUUAUAUUACAUUGAAUAAGGUUUGAUGAUUUUUGAAUUGGAUAUAAUUUGUUGAUAUGAAUUCUACUAUUCUAGUUUAGUUUUGAUUGAAAUUUGAAUUUGGUUUUGAUUUCUUGGUUGAGUAUAUAUAUUAUAUGAUUUUGAGUAGGUAUUAGAUUUUGACUCAGUUUGUGGAAUUGGAGAUAUUGUUUGGUUUGGUUUUCAUAUUAGAUUUUGACAUUGUUUAUAGUUGGAUUUGGAUUCCGGUUUAGUUUUAAUUUUUGUUAAUUUGGAUUUUGGUGGGGUGUUCUUAGAUUGAAGAUUAAUUUAGAUAUUAAUAUUGUGUUGAUAGAGUAUUGCAUGAUAUGGAUUCUUCUUAUUGUCUUCAUAUUGUGGAUCUUUUGUGAAUUUUAUUGCUCCGUUUUCUAUUUUAAAAACUCUCGAUUCAGCAUCAUAAUUUUUGGGGGAUAUUACCAGAUAUAAUAUUAUUGGUUAGUUGCAUUAUUUUAUAAGUUUCUUUGUAAUAUUAGUCUGGUUUUUCAUUGUUUUGAUGUUGGUUAUAUAAGCCUUUCUCUUAGAUUAUAAUAAAAACACUCUAUUUUUAUAGAGUUUCUCCUUACUUUAUCAAUUUUAAAGACCUAGUUGACUACCAACACUCUUUUCAGAUGAAAACUAUUCUUGCAUUCAAACUAAUUACGCAUGCCUUACACAUUCCAACUCUUGACACUUUGGACCAUGUCAGAGCUCAUCAAGUGUCUUUUCAUCCCCCCAUGCCCAUGCGGCCAUGCCUUAUUGCAAGACUAAGGGGAUAAGAAACAGCCUAUGCCAUCUUCUUCUCAAUCACCGACAAACUCGGCAUCUACAACAACAACAAAGUCAAAUCUAACUCCGCUUUCGAAAGAGCUUAUCAAGAUUGUGAAUUCUCUCAAUUGUUGAAUGGUUUGGUAGUUCCUAUGGGUAACAACUAUUUUCGCUAUAUUAAGAAACUAAACAGAACCAUCCACUAUGUCAAUCCUUCACAACGAUCAAAAAGAUAAAUGGAAUUCAUUGCAGUUCAAAUGAGAUGGUCAUCAAUGUGGAAGCUGGUGAUGCUGAUAAAUGCAUAAAUGUCUCUCUUGAAUUCCUUAAAAAAGAGAAAAUCUUGUUAAACAGACAUCAUAUACUUGUUGCAUUACCUCAAGCAUUCCUGUGAGCCCCCUGGGCAUCCUGCAAUUAAUUGAACCCUGAACUCCCGAAAUGCUCUAACAUGCAUCAUCCUGUGAGUACAAUGUAUCAACUCUAGUGGCCUGAAUCCAAAGACACCAUCUCUGUCCUUGAUGUAUCCAUCACCAAUUGCAACAGCAGCCGCAAUACUUUCCCUUUUGGCUGGUAUACGAGGAAGUGAAGAUAAUAUAAGCGUUAUUGUUGUUGAUCUCAUGAACAAUCAGUCUUGAUAUUCUUUAUGGUUGUGGAGUAAAGGCGCUAAAUGAGAAUCACAAGAGAGUGGCCCAGUACAUGUUGGACGAGGAACUUAAUUGAAUUAUAUUGCCUUGUGUUAUUACAUUUAAAGUGACCUUUUAUUUGAAGCAGCGGUAUAGAAACGUUCUCUUUCAUUUUGUACCUUACUCAAACAGACCUUUCUGAAGUUUUUUUAAAAAGUAAAAUAAUUUGCAUUAUGUUUUUUGGAUUGAAGUUGCAAUCUAAACUUAGCCUUGGCCUUUGAAUAAUGAAAAAUUAAAAUAAUUUGCAUAAUGUUCUUUUCACCCAGAUUAAACAGUUCUAGUGUACUAAUCUACACAGCUUAGCCUUGGCUUUUGGAUACCUUUUUAGGAUUUAAUAAGAUGUUUAGAAAUUUUUAGUGAUCAUUUCAUCUAAAAAUCUUUCAUUAUUAGUUUUUUGUAUAUCGAAUCAUGUUAUAUAUCAAAAUCCAAUCACUUCAAAUCCCAUUAAAUUGUGAUGAAUACCGCAUCAAUUAGUAGUGCUUCAUGUUUGACCCUAGCUUCCCAUAUAUAAUUUGCAUUUAUGUUGUGGGGAUUUAGUCUUUUUUUUAAUAUCUACUAUGUUAAGUUCAAGGUUUUCAUAUUAGGUUAUGGAUUUAAUAAUAUUAUAUUAUCUUUCAACAAUUUUAAUAGAUUAUUAGUUUAUUUCCAUUCUAGUUAAGGUCUUGUACGUUGCGCUAAAAUGUGGUAUAAUUAUCUAGAGCCUUUAAUAUUUUGGAAAAUAUGACGUAGAAUUCUGCGAUCGCAUAUAUAUCAGUCUCGUAAUUAUUUUUAUUAACGAUUCAAUGACAUAAAGUAAAAUAUUUUUCUAAUAAAUUAUGAGCAGAAAGAUUUUACCUAUGUAAUAGGUGAUUCUAUUAUACACACACAUAUAUAUAUAUACACAAAUAUAUACAUACAUACAUGUAUGUAUAUAUAUAUGUAUGUGUGUAUUUAUAUAAUUACUCAAAAAAAUGAUCACGAUUCUACAAAGAUCGAGUGCCUAUUAUUGUUAUAAUAUUUUUCUAUUAAUUUUCGGUAGUAUUUUUAUUAUGGUGAACUAAUUUUAGAACUAUUACUAACAUAUUUUUUUGGCGCUUUGAUAUAAUUAUUAUAUUGGUUCAAAUAAAGAAUCUAAAAUUAUAUUUCUUUAAAAAAUAAAUAUAAUUAGAAAAGAGAGCAAAAGCAUUAGAUUAUCAUCCAUAAAAUAUAUGAGUAAUAUGAGUAAAAUUAGGUUAUAAAGAUGCUAGCAGUAGCUAAUUAGAGUCACCUACGUUCAUAAUCAUAAAGAAAAUUGAGAAAAGAUUUUUAUAAUUGGAUUUUCAAGGUGGAUUAGAGCCAACGAGGGUGCAAAAAUUCAAGAACUGGAUUCUUACCUUGCUUCAGAUUUUUUUGGUAUGUCAUGUAGAUUGUUUGCUAAGAUUUUUCAAGCUAAUUGGAGAUGUUUUUAUACCACAUAUCUUACUACUAAGUACUAGUAAUACACUAAUAGCCACACACCAACAACAAACAGUUCUAUACUCCUGUUCACAAACCAUCCCUGAAAUAAGGAGCACUAAGGAAUGAGCUAGAAAAUGUCCCUCCCCCGUUUGGAAAGAGAGUAAGAAAACAUAUGAGAAAGAGUACGAGCCCCCAAGCAUAUCGAUCAUCUCCCAACGGAGUGAUCUCAUCCUUUGCCGGGAUUUCUUCUCCGCCUCUGAAGAAUGUUGCAAACAGUCCCCAUGCCAAACAGAGGACACUCCCGCUUAGACCACCGAUGCCAAGGAGUAAUGAAGUCGUGAAAGAUAAGACACUGGCUGUGCUUCUUCCGAACAUGGAUUGAGCAAUGCGCCCACCUUCGAGUCUUCCACAUGGCAACAAGUUCAAUGAUGUUACCACCAUUCCUUCACCAAUGAGAUGUAAUUACAAUGAGAGCCUUUUAAUUUUAAAAACAGAGUUGCAUCUAAAUUUUGUAUUCAGUUCUCUAAAGUUCCAGCUGCAAAGGACUGAAAUCUAUGUUCUAUACAGAGAUUUAAUCUGAACCAGUUUGACAUUUCUAAAGCACUGACCUAAGAGUCCAGCAAAAGCAAGUGGAUCAACAGGGACUCCCACACCUUCAACUGCAUAUGGUAAUACGUUCCCUAGGUCAUCGGUGUAUGGGCCUAUUACGAAUUGGAUGAACGAAAGCAAAGGGUUAUUGAAGAAAAAUUGAGGCCUUAUAUACCUGCAGAAGAAUGAGUAUCAGCUUUUAUAGAUGUUCUUCUCUUUUGAACCAUAAAAGGCAGAGUAAAUGGAUUAGGAAACCAUGGAAUAUGGAUGCAUGCCAAUAUCAACAUAAUGGGCAUGUGUUUUAAAAGAUCUAUUAGAGCUCCAUGACAUGGAAGAUGCAUAUAAAUCACAUUUUGUACUAUUAGAGUCAGUUAUAAUAGGAAGGAUCCAUCUACGAAGAGGUAGCUAAGUACUUACAAUGCGUUAUCGCCUCCAUUAAAGCUGCCAUCAGCCACAAAAGCGGCAACUGCAAGUAAUAGGGAUGUUAGAUAUGCACUGGCUGUUCUUGCGACAGGAAUAUCAAAAAGAGCCUUCUUGUUUGGCAGCAAAGACUCGUAAUUAUUCAUCACUCCCAAGCAUCCAGUCCAAUUGGAGGGCACUAAAAAGGACGGGCUCAAUUUAACACCACAACGUGCUGCGGUUAUCCUUGUGGCUAUCUGCAAUAGAUAUAUACACACCAGGCAAUCAAGAAUUUAUCUUCACAGAAAAAGAUUUGAUACCUAAAGUAUUAUACUGCUAACGGGAAAUGUUUGGUUUUCAUUCACUCCCAAUGCCAAAUAUACUUUUUUACAUUCUUGAGAGAGAAAGUUACAAACUCGUCACUGCAUUUGAAGAUAAAAGAUGCGACAAAAAACUUGUUGAUAUUAUCAUCAAAUUGUCUGAGAUAUAUGAAUUUACAGGGUUUAAAAAAGCUAAAUUUAAGCAAAAAGCUUGUAUAUGAACUUUAUAGUUUAACAAUGUCGACUUUGACUCGAUGGUUCUUUACUAGAAAAUUCAUUAAUAAAUAAGUUUGCCCUCACCCUUUUAUACCUUAUGGCAUCUCUGAAGUUAAUUUACUCAUGUUUGCCAAAGCUUACAGGACAGAGCAUAGUAGCAGAUAUUUUACCUCUGAAACUCCCAGAAUUGUUAGGAAGCCACCGAAGAGAGGAACAACAUCAGCUAGGUAGUCGUUGAAUGUAGCAUCAGGUUUAAGAAAGAAGCCACUCAUCAAGGCUAUUGUUCCAAACGUUGUGACACCUAAAAGUACAGAACUUAUAUAGCCCCAAGGAGUGCUCAGCCUGGUCGACUCAAACUGGAGGUCAAUUUCCGCUU